rnacentral:rRNA from 1 species
UACGAGGGGGGCGAGCGUUAUUCGGAAUCACUGGGCGUAAAGCGUGCGUAGGCUGUUUUGUAAGUUGGAAGUGAAAGCCCAGGGCUCAACCUUGGAAUUGCUUUCAAAACUACAAGACUUGAAUUCGGGAGAGGAUAGCGGAAUUGUCAGUGUAGCAGUGAAAUGCGUAGAUAUUGACAGGAACACCAGUGGCGUAAGCGGCUAUCUGGACCGACAUUGACGCUGAGGCACGAAAGCGUGGGGAUCAAACAGG